UACGAAGGGACCUAGCGUAGUUCGGAAUUACUGGGCUUAAAGAGCUCGUAGGUGGUUAAAAAAGUUGGUGGUGAAAGCCCAAGGCUUAACCUUGGAACUGCCAUCAAAACUUUUUGACUAGAGUAUGAUAGAGGAAAGUGGAAUUUCUAGUGUAGAGGUGAAAUUCGUAGAUAUUAGAAAGAACACCGAUUGCGAAGGCAGCUUUCUGGAUCAUUACUGACACUGAGGAGCGAAAGCAUGGGUAGCGAAGAGG
rnacentral:rRNA from 1 species